rnacentral:rRNA from 1 species
CGUCGAUCCUAUUUUGUUGGUUUCUAGGACCGCCGUAAUGAUUAAUAGGGAUAGUUGGGGGCAUUAGUAUUCAAUUGUCAGAGGUGAAAUUCUUGGAUUUCUUGAAGACUAACUACUGCGAAAGCAUUUGCCAAGGAUGUUUUCAUUAAUCAAGAACGAAAGUUAGGGGAUCGAAGACGAUUAGAUACCGUCGUAGUCUUAACCAUAAACUAUGCCGACUAGGGAUCGGGCGCAGUUUCAAACGACUCGCUCGGCACCUUAAGAGAAAUCAAAGUUUUUGGGUUCUGGGGGGAGUAUGGUCGCAAGGCUGAAACUUAAAGGAAUUGACGGAAGGGCACCACCAGGAGUGGAGCCUGCGGCUUAAUUUGACUCAACACGGGGAAACUCACCAGGUCCAGACACAGUAAGGAUAGACAGAUUGAGAGCUCUUUCUUGAUUCUGUGAUUGGUGGUGCAUGGCCGUUCUUAGUUGGUGGAGUGAUUUGUCUGCCUAAUCGCGAUAACGAACGAGACCCUUACCUGCUAAAUAGUCAACUCGGCUUUGGCCGAGACCUUUUGGUUAUGACUUCUUAGAGGGACCGGAGGCUCCAAGCCUCAGGAAGCCAAGGGCAAUAACAGGUCUGUGAUGCCCUUAGAUGUUCUGGGCCGCACGCGCGCUACACUGAUAAAGUCAGCGAGUUUUAUUCUUUGAAUAGUCCUUGGCCGGAAGGCCUGGGCAAUCUUGUUAAACUUUAUCGUGC